GCAGCGGUGGUUCAGCGGUGGAACUCUCGGCUUUCAUGCGGGAGAUCUAGGCUCCAUUCCUGGCCCGUGCA
rnacentral:tRNA from 1 species